GGGUGGAGCUCAGUCAGAGAGCUGUUGAGGGACUGGUUAGGAAGAACACUUCUACAGCCAGAGAGUGGCCUGACUGUGUCAAAGGCCCAUCCUGGUAGAUCUGAACCUAAUGCAGCUUGGAGUGAUCAGAUGACAGAUGUCACAUUUUAGUGCCAGGGACGAGCUAACGAGCUAGACGGGCUAACGAGCUAGACGUGCUAACGAGCUAGACGCGCUAACGAGCUAGACGUGCUAACGAGCUAGACGUGCUAAAGUCCAACCUCAAAACAUAAAUGGAAAAACCAAAGCCUGUAACACCUUCCCCCUUAAGACAACAAAUAUAUCCUAUAUUUUUGUUGGACAAGUUUGCUCACCACCAACAGAAAACAACUUCCAUUUCACAUUAUAAUCAACUACAAUGCUUCACCUUCUACAAUAUAAACAUGGUGUCUACUGGCUGUCAACAAUUAAAAACAAGAAAAAAACACUUA
rnacentral:lncRNA from 1 species